UUACUGUAUUGCUGGGAAUAGAACCCAGGGCCCUGUACAAGGUGUCCCAGCCCAGCACUGCUGAACUGAAAGAACCUAGUGGGGAAACUCCCACUCAACUCCCAAUUCGGUGUGCACCCAAGAAUCACGAACAGACGA
rnacentral:pre_miRNA from 7 species